rnacentral:rRNA from 1 species
ACUAACGCUGGCGGCGUGCUUAACACAUGCAAGUCGAACGGAAAGGCCCUGCUUUUGUGGGGUGCUCGAGUGGCGAACGGGUGAGUAACACGUGAGUAACCUGCCCUUGACUUUGGGAUAACUUCAGGAAACUGGGGCUAAUACCGGAUAGGAGCUCCUGCUGCAUGGUGGGGGUUGGAAAGUUUCGGCGGUUGGGGAUGGACUCGCGGCUUAUCAGCUUGUUGGUGGGGUAGUGGCUUACCAAGGCUUUGACGGGUAGCCGGCCUGAGAGGGUGACCGGCCACAUUGGGACUGAGAUACGGCCCAGACUCCUACGGGAGGCAGCAGUGGGGAAUAUUGCACAAUGGGCGGAAGCCUGAUGCAGCAACGCCGCGUGCGGGAUGACGGCCUUCGGGUUGUAAACCGCUUUCGCCUGUGACGAAGCGUGAGUGACGGUAAUGGGUAAAGAAGCACCGGCUAACUACGUG